rnacentral:rRNA from 1 species
CGCACGGGUGCGUAACGCGUAUACAAUCUACCUUUUACAGGGGGAUAGCCCAGAGAAAUUUGGAUUAAUACCCCAUGGCAUAUACUUAUGGCAUCAUAUUUAUAUUAAAGAUUCAUCGGUAAGAGAUGAGUAUGCGUUCUAUUAGCUAGUUGGUGCGGUAACGGCGCACCAAGGCUACGAUAGAUAGGGGCCCUGAGAGGGGGAUCCCCCACACUGGUACUGAGACACGGACCAG